UUAAAGGGCAGCCAUGAGUUUCCGUGUCUAAUUUUAAUUAUUCAUUUUAUUUAAAUUUUAUUAGUAUUUUUAUUGUUAUUAGAUGAUAAAAUAUAAAAGGUACUUUAUUUAUGACAUAUGCUUUUUAAUUUUUUCAAAAAAAAAUUCAAAUAAGACGAAUGAUUAAAAUUGAAUACAGAAACUCAUAGCUACACUUAAA
rfam:Oryza sativa (indica cultivar-group) chromosome 11, whole genome shotgun sequence.